UGUAUAUAUACUAAACAUUAAUCUAACACAUGCAUUAAUACUAUGCUUUAAAACAAACAGAGGGAAACUUAAUUAAAAUCAACUAUCCCCCCUUUCAAUAUCUUCUACAGGUACUGCCCUGCUACAGGAAGUCAGUACCCAGGGAAGUCAAUAAAAGCUUCCCUCACCAACAUGGCUGGUUCCCCACUUCCUGUCAAGAUGGAGGACCAUACCACCACACCCAACUCAGGACACUCCCAACCACAGGCCUCCAGUCCUGAUACCCCAGGUACUGCCCUGCUACAGGAAGUCAGUACCCAGGGAAGUCAAUAAAAGCUUCCCUCACCAACAUGGCUGGUUCCCCACUUCCUGUCAAGAUGGAGGACCAUACCACCACACCCAACUCAGGACACUCCCAACCACAGGCCUCCAGUCCUGAUACCCCAGGUAAGUGAAUUUUGUUUUUAUUAUUUUCCUUACUAGACCCAAGGUUCAGCAACACAAUACACAAACAGUUAAAAAACAAUUUGCAGAAAAUGUCCAGAUACAUACUGAGACAAAUGUGAGGGUCUCCUCCCUCACAAACAUAUAAUAUUAAACAUUUUCUCAGCAAUUUUUUCAUGUCUUUUCCAAUACUUUUUUAAAAUGUAUUCUUU